rnacentral:rRNA from 1 species
GGGUGCGAUCAUACCAGUACUAAUGCAUCGGAUCCCAUCAGAACUCCGAAGUUAAACGAGAGUAGUACGAAGAUGGGUGACCUCUUGGGAAGUCCUCGUGGUGCACCCC